rnacentral:lncRNA from 1 species
GAGAGGUCGGAGGCUGCGAGUGUCGCUGCUGAAGGCUGUGGUGGACUGGGCUGGAUCGCGGAUUUUGGAUUAGAUAAUAGAUUUGGGAUCGCGGAUUGGGGGUUGGAUCGCGGAUUUGGGGUUGGAUCGGGGAUUUGGGGUUGGAUAGGGGAUUUGGGGCUGGGUCGGCGGGGGCGUGGGGGGAGGUGAAAAGGUAACAGGGAGCUGCCCCCUCUCAAGAGCCGGUAGUUGGGAGUCUGAGAAGUCACCACCAUGAAGUUGUUCGGCUUCAGGAGCCGCAGGGGCCAGACGGUCCUGGGCUCCAUAGACCACCUCUACACGGGUUCCGGGUACCGAAUCCGGUACUCGGAACUGCAGAAGAUCCACAAGGCAGCUGUCAAGGGCGACGCUGCGGAGAUGGAGCGCUGUCUGGCGCGCAGGAGCGGAGACCUUGACGCCCUGGACAAGCAGCACAGGCUGUCCAUUGCCAGGAAGAGGCUUGUGCCGUUAUUCUGCUGGAACAUGGUGCCAAUCCAAACCUUAAGGAUAUCUACGGCAACACUGCUCUCCAUUAUGCUGUGUAUAGUGAGAGCACCUCACUGGCAGAAAAACUGCUUUUCCAUGGUGAAAAUAUUGAAGCACUGGACAAGUGACCCAUUUGGAGCAGGAGUGCCUGACAUUGACAUCUGGGAUCCUGACACCAUUGAUAGAAGUGAAUCAAGCAAGUUUGUGCCACCCAGAAGAAACCUCCACCUGCAUUGGGAAGCUCUGGCAACUGUACCCCUAAAACUCUUAAUUCCUCAAAUGUUAAUGUUUGCCACAAAUAGUAUUGUCAAAUGGGGAUUAGGUACAAUUCAAGAGAUUUCUUGAUUAUUGGACAUAACAUACAGUUUUAUAAUACUUCUCAAAUGCAGAUGGUCAUGGAGUCCUUCUCUUGGGGUAUAAUACUUCUGGUAAAGCAAAUAUUCUUUGGAAUAUAGUUUAAGAAACACUGCUUUAGUGAGAAUAAUUUAGAUCAUUAAUUUAUGUAAAAAACUUAAAAUGUUUGCUACUAUGUCUUAGGGUUUUGGGGGUAUAGAGACAAAAGAUACAGACCUUGCCUCAAGAAGCUCUUGGUUUCAGUGGGACACAGUGAAAUGAUUACAAUGUACCAUGCUAAGUGCUGUGAUCAAAGCAAGGAUUCUUGGGACUGGUAAAUGUC